GACGAACGCUGGCGGCGUGCUUAACACAUGCAAGUCGAGCGGAAAGGCCCACUUGUGGGUACUCGAGCGGCGAACGGGUGAGUAACACGUGAGUAAUCUGCCCUUCACUCUGGGAUAACGUUCAGAAAGGGGUGCUAAUACCGGAUGUGCACAUGGUCUCGCAUGGGGUUGGGUGGAAAGAUUUUUUGGUGGGGGAUGUGCUCGCGUCCUAUCAGCUUGACGGGGGGGUAAUGGGCUACCGUGGCUUUGACGGGUAGCCGGCCUGAGAGGGUAACCGGCCACACUGGGACUGAGACACGGCCCAGACUCCUACGGGAGGCAGCAGUGGGGAAUAUUGGACAAUGGGCGGAAGCCUGAUCCAGCAACGCCGCGUGAGGGAUGACGGCCUUCGGGUUGUAAACCUCUUUCACCAUUGACGAAGCUGCAUCUUUUUGGGUGUGGUGACGGUAGGUGGGGAAGAAGCACCGGCCAACUACGUGCCAGCCGCCGCAGUAACAC
rnacentral:rRNA from 1 species